AGUGAGGAUUUUUUAGUUUAAUAUGUGAGGGAAUUUUUUAUUUAUUUUAAACAUAAUUUGUGGGCGAAUACAGAUUUGUACCGGUAGGGUCGGAUUUAACCCGAACCCGAUUCUGUAUGUAAAAAUAGACUUGCACCCGUCCUGUUUAUGCAUGCAAGUAGGAUCGGAAUUAUGCGGGUAAGAUCAAUUUAAACAAGUUGUGUGAGUCGGAUAAAUCAUUACCCACUCCUACUAAAAUCACAACUACAAUAAGUCAUGAUCAAUCAUUGACCCAAAAAAAACAAAAAAACGAUUAACAAAUUGAGCCCCACAACCACAAUUAGUUGUUACUACAAACCACUUGAACCACAACCAAAUAUUACAAAACACCAUAACUAAUAUAUAGUACGUGUGUCAUAAAAUUUCCCUGAUAUGUAGGAGUCAUCAUUUGGCCAUAUGUCCACCGCCCAGACGAUUCAAUUCAGCCCGGUAGGAUUUUACGUGAUCCAAGUGUUUUGAUAAAUGAUUAAGAGUUAUUUUUUGAUUUUUUUUAGUUUUUUUGUGAGAGAAGAAAAUAGAUUAAAAGCUGAGAAGUGACUUUUAACCCACUUCUCAAAAUAGCCCUAAAGAGUUGACCCAGCCCAUAUAAAACUUGGGUUGAAUUUGGGCCUAGGAUUUCGAACCUGGCCUGCUUGUUGGCCUGGCCCGUUGAGCUAAACCGUACUCACAUAUACAAGCAUAUCUAUCUCACACAUUCGCCAACCUCCAGGACUUAAACAUGCCUCAACUAAAACCCAGAUUGCAAACAAAGGCUUAAAGUUUCAGGUUGAUGGCAUACAUACACAAUCUCAAACCCAUAUUAACACACAAAUAGGAUUCACCGUCACAAAAUCUCAAACCCAUAUUAAGACAGAAAUACGAAUCACCGUCACAAAAUGAAGCAGAUAUGUAAUGUGCACAUAGAAUUACCAACGAAGACGUUCAAACUCACAUACAACAAUUGAAAUCAGAAUCUUAUCUU